rnacentral:tmRNA from 1 species
GGGGGCGACAGGCUUCGACAGGGGCUUGUAUAGAUCUUUGGAUGCACGUCGGGCUUGCUUGGAAGCUCGUUAAAAAACCGAGCAAAACACAAAUGCUAAUCAAGAAUUAGCCCUUGCUGCCUAAUUAACUUUAGCCAGUCAAGUGUCUCGCCGCAAGUCAGCUUGAAGCGCGCGAACGAGGCAUAACUUAUUUUAAGCUAGCUCGCAUUCUACGUCCGCGAAUGCGAGCGAAACGUUAGCCGGACUAGCUUUUCGCAAGGUCUUGUCGGUUUACUUACUUGGGAAAAGCGAAACUAAAAGUGAAACGACUAAACGUGUAGAUUCUCUGGAUCGCAACCUUUGGAUGCGGGUUCGAUUCCCGCCGCCUCCACCA